UACGGGAGGCAGCAGUGGGGAAUAUUGCACAAUGGGCGCAAGCCUGAUGCAGCCAUGCCGCGUGUAUGAAGAAGGCCUUCGGGUUGUAAAGUACUUUCAGUCGUGAGGAAGGUGUUAAGGUUAAUAACCUUAGCAAUUGACGUUAGCGACAGAAGAAGCACCGGCUAACUCCGUGCCAGCAGCCGCGGUAAUACGGAGGGUGCGAGCGUUAAUCGGAAUUACUGGGCGUAAAGGGCACGCAGGCGGUUAAUUAAGUUGGAUGUGAAAUCCCCGGGCUUAACCUGGGAAUGGCAUUCAAGACUGGUUAGCUAGAGUCUGUAGAGGGGGUAGAAUUCCAUGUGUAGCGGUGAAAUGCGUAGAGAUGUGGAGGAAUACCGGUGGCGAAGGCGGCCCCUGGACAAAGACUGACGCUCAUGUGCGAAAGCGUGGGGAGCAAAC
rnacentral:rRNA from 1 species